rnacentral:rRNA from 1 species
UACAGAGGGGGCAAGCGUUGUUCGGAAUUACUGGGCGUAAAGGGCGCGUAGGCGGCCGCCUAAGUCAGACGUGAAAUCCCUCGGCUCAACCGGGGAACUGCGUCUGAUACUGGGUGGCUUGAAUUCGGGAGAGGGAUGCGGAAUUCCAGGUGUAGCGGUGAAAUGCGUAGAUAUCUGGAGGAAUACCGGUGGCGAAGGCGGCAUCCUGGACCAUUACUGACGCUGAGGCGCGAAAGCUAGGGGAGCAAACGGG